UCACAUACUCCUUUGUUCCUGAGCAGCUAGGAGUUUUCAGUUUGUUUCUAAGGUGCUAAAAGAGGAUCAGAGUGGCCUGAGCUCAGGGAUGCCUCACUCGAAGCUCUAGCAGGAUGUGUCUUUUAACAGGAUGAAGGUGUGAUGGUUCUCAGUGCACUGUAGAGUUUGUUCUUCAAGAAGACAAAGGACAGUGUUCUUCAGGAAGACAAAGAAAGACAAACAGUGCAGAACUGUUGCUUCUGGGGUUUCUCCCAUAGCCAGGGAGAGACUGUCAUGGACAUGGAAGCUGAAGCUCUGGACAUGCUGAUGGAGCCAUGAAAACAGAACCAGCUCUGCUUCAGAGUGUCCUGCUAUGAUGCUCAAACAUGCAACACUUGUUUUUCAGCACUGAUUAGUUUGACCCUCUGCUCCACAAAUGCUAACCUACAUCUGUGUCUUAUUCUGGAACAGCAAAGGGAGAAAAAUCUGAACAGCUGUGUCGGUGGAACACAUCCAGGUGGCAUCCCUAAGGCAAAGUUUCUACAAAAUCUGUGGUUUUAUUCAGUGUCUGAGGGAUGUGAAUACCUGGAUCAAGUUUCUCUAGACGCAUUUCUCAGUUUUUCCUGUUAGUGGGAACCCAGAGGACUGGAUAUGCAAUCUUCAACCACUCCAGUUUGUGUCUCCAACUCUAUUUAAUCCAUGUACCAGGACAACAGCUUGCUACUACCACUAGCUGAAAGAAUUGCAGUGGAAGCCACUGACAAACCUGAAAAAAUCCAAAUAAAGAGAAGCUACAGUUCCAGCAUUUUUCCCUCUGAUCUCCUAACCAGAGCAAUAUCCUGCAGAGAGAAAUCUAGAUCCCACUGAAUGUGAGAAAGUUGGCUGGCAACGGCAGCAGCACCCCUUCGAUGGCAGAGCCAAGGGAGAAAACUAACUCUUCCAUUGCAAAGUUUCCACUGGACCAAAAGCAAAACAAGCAUUCAGUUUGGUCAUGCAUGAGACUGGCUCUUUAAAUACUCAUCUGGGCCUCCUAGUCUUUCUUCAGCUCUGGAUGCUGCAGCUUCAUGCCUUUGCUUCUCUCCUGCAGCCCCCCAGCUGGGCUUGGGUACUCUGUGCUCUGAUUUGUGCUGCUCUGCAUUUCCUAAUGGGCCUGUGCUGGUCUAAGCUGCCUUAUAGGAUAAUUAACUGAAAGAGGAGAGAAUUAGAUUAGAUAUUAGAAAUAAACUCUUUACUCUGAGGGUGGUGAGGGUCUGGUACUGAUUACCCAGAGAGGCUAUGGAUACCCCAUUCCUGGAAGUGUUCAAGGCCAGGUUGGACAGGGUUUGGAGCAAACUGGGAUAGUGGAAGCUGUUUCUGACCAUGGCAGGGGCAUGGACCUGGAUGAUCUUUAAGGUCCCUUCCAAUCUAAGCCAUUCUAUGAGUCUAAUAUGCCAUUUGCAGUUUUAAUGCAAUAAGGAACAAGAAAGAUUGUAUUUCUGUUGCUUUACUUACAUAUGGAGCAAUGUAACUGGCUCUCCUUGUCUCAGUUUUGCGCUAUUAAUAAAGUCCAUGUGAGGAAUAUA